rnacentral:rRNA from 1 species
UACCCGCAGCACAAGUGGUGGUCAUUAUUAUUGGGCCUAAAGCGUCCGUAGCUUGCGUGUUAGAUGCCUGGGUAAAUCGAUGGGCUUAACCCAUCGAAUUCCGGGUAAACCGGCACGCUCGAGACCGGGAGAGGUGUAGGGUACUCGGGGGGUAGGGGUAAAAUCCUGUAAUCCUCCGGGGACGACCAGUGGCGAAGGCGCUACACUAGAACGGCUCUGACAGUGAGGGACGAAGCCCUGGGGCGCAAACCGG